CCUACGGGUGGCAGCAGUGAGGAAUAUUGGUCAAUGGACGCGAGUCUGAACCAGCCAAGUAGCGUGAAGGAUGACUGCCCUAUGGGUUGUAAACCUCUUUUAUCUGGGAAUAACAUGUUCCACGUGUGGGAUUUUGUAUGUUCCCUAUGAAUAAGGCUUGGCUAACUCCGUGCCAGCAGCCGCGGUAAUACGGAGGAUCCGAGCGUUUUCCGGAUUUAUUGGGUUUAAAGGGUGCGUAGGCGGAAUGCCAAGUCCGUGGUAAAAUCGAGGGGCUCAACCUCGCUCCGCCGUUGAAACUGGCGUUCUUGAGUGGGCGAGAAGUAUGCGGAAUGCGUGGUGUAGCGGUGAAAUGCAUAGAUAUCACGCAGAACGCCGAUUGCGAAGGCAGCAUACCGGCUCCCAACUGACGCUGAAGCACGAAAGCGUGGGUAUCGAACAGGAUUAGAUACCCCGGUAGUC
rnacentral:rRNA from 1 species